rnacentral:rRNA from 1 species
UACGAAGGGGGCUAGCGUUGUUCGGAAUUACUGGGCGUAAAGCGCGCGCAGGCGGUCUUCCAAGUCAGUGGCGAAAGCCCGGAGCUCAACUCCGGAACUGCCAUUGAAACUGUUGGACUUGAGUACGAGAGAGGUGAGUGGAAUUCCCAGUGUAGAGGUGAAAUUCGUAGAUAUUGGGAAGAACACCGGUGGCGAAGGCGGCUCACUGGCUCGUAACUGACGCUCAGGCGCGACAGCGUGGGGAUCAAACAGG